GAGGUUUAUUAGUUUCCUAGGCUGCUGUCACAAAUUGACACAGACUUAGUGACUUAAAACAACAGAAAUGUAUUCGCUUACAGCUUGGGAGACCAGAAAUCCAAGGGGCUCAGAGCACAGUGGAGAAGAGAGAUGAGCAGACAGCUGAUCAUAGCACACCAGUGAAUGCCACAACAUGUGGGGGUUGUGUAGUGACUGUGUGCCUCAGGGACACUAGUCAGAGCUGCAGUGAAAUCUGCUUGGCCUGUGGAGAAGCAGAAAGGACGACGGUGGCUUCAGGGAGGCGACAUGGGCGCUGGGCCUCAGAGGAUACGAGGCCUUCAGUACAUCUUUAUUAAUCUGACUGCCUGGUUGCAGUUACAUUUGAGAAUAAGACUGAGAUCAAAUUCCACGUUUAGAGUGAGAAAUGACUGCAGUUGAAGACUUGGUUGCAAGAGUCUAAGAAGACACCUCAGGGAGAGAGACAGGAUCCAAAACAAGAUUGCUGGCUGAGGUAAGAAGCUAUAAACCAGGAAGGACUCAUGGAACCUAGAGGUAUUCUCCAGAGAUUCCUCAGAAAUACCUAGGGAGAGGAAUCUGAUGGAAGACUGAACUUCUUCAAACAGGAAGGAAAUGGUUAUUUAGCCAUUAAAGGAAAUGUGAGCCAGAAUAAGUUUGGAGAAUUUGGGAGCAUGUGAAUUAUACACAAUAAUUGUAUUUUUCUGCAACUUCCUGUUUUCCACUUAAUUGUAUAUCGUGAAGUUAUUUCCAGGUCAGUAUAUAAAGAACUAUCUUAUUUUUCAAGCAGCUGCAUACUGUUUUUAAAGGUAACUUUGUUUAUUUAACUGUCUCCUAAUUGUAGAUGGAUGUUGGUUGCUAGCAAUUUGUUGUUGUUAUACAUAAACAGUGCUGCAGUGAACUAACUCACAUAUAAAUCUUUGUAAACAUACUCUCAUAUUUCUGUAGGGUGAGUUUUUUCAAGUGGGAUUGCUGAGUUCCAGAUGUAUGCAUUUGAAACUUUAAUAAAUUCUAUAAGAAUAUCCUCUAAAAAGUAAAAUUUAAAUUACUACAUUUAAACUCCUAGCAACAGUAUAUGAAAAUGUUCAUUUCAAGGUGUCCUUAACAAUGAAUUCUAUAAAAUUUUUGCCAAUAUGAUAGAUGAAAAUAACACUUCAUUCUUUUCAACAUACUUUUCUUUGAUAUUAGUGACACUAAUAAUCUUUUCACUGCAUAAUUAGCCAUGUAUAUUUCUUUUUCUAUGAUAUCUGUGCCUUGUUUGUUUAUCUAUUGGAUUGUUUACUUACUUUCUAAUGGUAGGGAUUUUUCAUAUUUUAUGAAUGUUAAAUUAUUAAAUUUAGUUUGUUAUAUGUGUUAAAAUA
rnacentral:lncRNA from 1 species